rnacentral:rRNA from 1 species
UACGGAGGGGGCAAGCGUUGUUCGGAAUUACUGGGCGUAAAGGGCGCGUAGGCGGCCUUCUAAGUCGAACGUGAAAUCCCCGGGCUCAACCCGGGAACUGCGUCCGAUACUGGAAGGCUUGAAUCCGGGAGAGGGAUGCGGAAUUCCAGGUGUAGCGGUGAAAUGCGUAGAUAUCUGGAGGAACACCGGUGGCGAAGGCGGCAUCCUGGACCGGUAUUGACGCUGAGGCGCGAAAGCCAGGGGAGCAAACGGG